AUUGCACGCUGGCGGCAAGCCUAACACAUGCAAGUCGAACGAGUGGCGGAAGGGUGAGUAAUGUCUGGGAAACUGCCUGAUGGAGGGGGAUAACUACUGGAAACGGUAGCUAAUACCGCAUACUAUCGGAAGAGCAUAGAUGGGAUUAGCUAGUAGGUGGUGUAAAGGCCCACCUAGGCGACGAUCCCUAGCUGGGCUGAGAGGAUGACCAGUCACACUGGAACGGAGACACGGUCCAGACUCCUACGUGAGGCAGCAGUGGGGAAUAUUGCACAAUGGGCGCAAGCCUGAUGCAGCCAUGCCGCUUGUAUGAAGAAGGCCUUCGGGUUGUAAAGUACUUUCAGCUGGGAGGCGUUACCCACAGAAGAAGCACCGGCUAACUCCGUGCCAGCAGCCGCGGUAAUAC
rnacentral:rRNA from 1 species